rnacentral:rRNA from 1 species
AACGAACGCUGGCGGCAGGCUUAACACAUGCAAGUCGAACGCAUCCUUCGGGGUGAGUGGCAGACGGGUGAGUAACGCGUGGGAACGUGCCCUUCAGUUCGGGAUAACACAGGGAAACUUGGGAUAAUACCGGAUACGUGCGAGAGCAGAAAGAUUUAUCGCUGAAGGAUCGGCCCGCGCCUGAUUAGCUAGUUGGUGGGAGAAUGGCCCACCAAGGCGACGAUCAGAAGCUGGUCUGAGAGGAUGAUCAGCCACAUUGGGACUGAGACACGGCCCAAACUCCUACGGGAGGCAGCAGUGGGGAAUAUUGGACAAUGGGCGCAAGCCUGAUCCAGCCAUGCCGCGUGGGUGAUGAAGGCCUUAGGGUUGUAAAGCUCUUUCGUCCGGGACGAUAAUGACGGUACCGGAAGAAGAAGCCCCGGCUAACUUCGUGCCAGCAGCCGCAGUAA